UCUGCAACAGACAUAACUCUCAUGGAUGAGUAAUUUGAAUUAAUAACUUGCAUUUCAGCUACAAUGUGAGGACUGCAGAUACUUUUUUAGCAAGUGGAAGGUUCCUUUGAAGCUGUUUCAACAGGACUAAUGUUUGGGAGGAAACCGGCCAGCACUUCCUGGACUUAUGCAGCCUCAGAGUGACAUCACUGGGCCAUACCAAGUUCUCUUUUUUGAUUUGGAUGUUUCUUUUGUAUUAAAAGCCAUCAGUCAGUGUUGAUUUCAUGAGUUUAGCUUUCAGGGAGUCAUUUAGAAAUGCCUGCAAGCUUGUAGUGUGUACAAUGACGUUGUUUACAGAUUUGUUUGCGUUCAGGUAGUAGAAUCUGCCACCAUUCUGUAUGAUAGUAGAGCUUAAGUGAGUAGUUGUGAACUGAGCAGCAUAUAUAAAGAGUAAAGAUUGUGUUUCCUCGAGGGAGGUGAAGCUGUGAUGCCAAAAUGUGACUUGUUUUGAGUAAUUACAAGUUAAUUUCGAGAUCAUUUUGUGUUGGUUUAAGUCUCACAUUAAUGGAGAGGCACUGCAAAAUAAAAUUUCCCCUCUUUUACACACA